UGGAAGCAAUGCGGGUUCGAUAGUUUACAUUUCACGGGCCCCGUGUUGCACCUGCGUCGGUUUCGUUCCUGUUUCCAACGUAUAAGUGUAGCGUCAGUGAUUCGCGUGACGCGACGCAACCUUCAACGUUUGUUUUUCUCCGUUUAUGCGUUGUGUGUUCGUUUGAAUGAAAACGUCGCGAGUGUUGUAACAAAAACCACGGAAAACAGAAGAAGAAUACGGGAGCAAAAGGAAUUCCAGGCUACAGCAGAAUGCCCAUUGCCCAACAGGGUUUCGUUCCAUGGUAUUUCAACGAGGCCACUGCAAUGAGAAAAGAAUUCCUGAAGCCAAAGAAAAUGAUACACCCAAAUAGCAGAAAGUCUAUCGCUAUUACGAAAAAAGCCAAAAAAAUAUCAAAUAGACAGAAGGCAGAAAUGU